rnacentral:lncRNA from 1 species
GAGGGGAUUCAAUAAUCCAUUCCAUGGUACUCACUAUCAAAGCUGUGCAUACCCCUCUGUAGGCAGGUUGUUUUAAAAUGUCCCACCAGGAAGAAGGAAAAUGUCCCAAAUGACUGCCAGGUUGUGUUACAAGCUUCUGACUGAUCCUUAACCUUCACCUGCUGCUGGUGAUUAGUCAGGAACAGGGAAAGCUGGGAAAGCUCACUCCUGCCUUGUGCUGUUGUGUGUUGAAAACACAAAUUCCUUCUGCUUCUACUUCCAGGAGGUCUCAGAGGGGCCUGUGGUCCCGUUGAUAUCCCCACAGUCACACCCACAACAGGCAGCUGUGAUGGCACACACCAGAGGCUGUUGGCAUCUUGGCAGGAUGGGUGUUCUGCAGCCAGCACCACCAGCACUCAGAGCCUCUGGCUGGAGUCAGAAAACAGCCAAAUUGGAUAAGUUUUAACAAAAAUGUAGGUAGCAAACAUGGAACAGGUGAGUGCCUACAUGUACAGCUGUCACUAUGCUGAGUGACUCCAGGCUGGGAGUUGAUGGGUGAACUAACACCACCCGUAAGGGCUGUCCUGAGGGCUGUAGACACCCAAAAUCCUUGCUGAAUACCUGCCCUGACAUGGAAAACACUCUUCUGGAAGGACUUGGCUGUUUUCUAAAUGCUUCCAUGGCUCAAUUCUCAUCUUUCCUGUGCAGGAACCAUCCUGUCUUCACGUCCCAAUGCCUGGCUGGUGCCUUCCCAGUGCUGGACAUGCCUUGUGCUCGUGCUCUCUGUGGAGUCUAUUUGCUUGUGAGAACUUUUCACAAGAGACAGGAUCGGGUUGUGCCCGGGCACUGGAGGUGUUUUGGUUAGGGGGAACAGCUGUGGGCCAGGAUCCACUCUGGACACGAGUGGACUGACACAGGAUCAUGGUGAGGUGCAAUUGCAGUUAUAUUAUUAUUAUUAUUAUUAUUAUUAUGUUGUUGUUGUUGUUGUUGUUUUGUUGUUGUUGUGUUGUUGUUGUUGUUGUGUUGUUGUUGUUGUUGUUGUUUUGUUGUUGCUGUUGUUAAUAAUAAUAAUUAAUAUAUAAAUAAAUAUAUAUAU